AUGGAAACAUCUACCCCACCUACCGGAAGCCAGCUUGCGCAGAUGGCGGCGCGCCACUCCGCGUCCUCCCGCGGCGAAGCCCCGCGGGUGUCAUCGCGAGACGAGCUCGCCGAAAUGGCCGCCGCCAGUCAAGGAAACUUUGAGGGAAAGUUUGAGUCACUGGACCUUACAGAACUUGCUAAAAAGCAGCCAUGGUGGCGCACGCUGUUUGGGCAGGAAUCUGGGCCUUCAGCCGAAAAGUAUAGUGUGGCAACCCAGCUGUUAAUUGGAGGUGUCACUGGAUGCUUGCAAACCAUACUGGCUACGUCAAAGUGGACUGGCAGCGUGUAGAGAAGGACAUGAAGAAGGCCAAAGAACAGCUGAAGAUCCGCAAGAGCAACCAGAUACCUACAGAGGUCAAGAGCAAAGCAGAGGAGGUGGUGUCAUUUGUGAAGAAGAACGUUCUAGUGACUGGUGGCUUUUUGGGAGGCUUUCUGCUGGGCAUGGCGUCCUAGAGGGGAUGACUUCACCACCAUUAGUCCUAGCUUUUUGCCAACCAGCAGCCUCUUCCCUCCACCCUAGGACAGCAGACUCCUCCUCCUCUUCCUCCUCCCUGCCAUGGCGUAUCUGAGUGGCUUCUGUAGGCAUCUGGUGAUUCAAAUUGGGAAAGGCCCCUCUGUGAGCUUGACAGCAAUGGAAGAGACCAUAGACGUUAGCAUUUAUCUAGCACACUCCCCUGGGACUAAUCUGUAGGUCAGCAAGUACAUUCCUUUCUCGUGUAAGAUACUUAGCAGAACAUAGGACAAGAUGACAACGCCAAGUGGAUCUUCAAAGGUUGCCCCACACUUGAUUUGGAAAAGACAUCGCAAGCAUAUAAGAUACCUCAUUAAGUUUUGCAUGGAAAGGAACUGAAUACACUAGCCUUUAAGCAUGAAA